GUAUGUGAGCGGGACAAAAUAAUGAAGGAAGGAGAAAAAUUGCGUGAGUGUCCAGUAGUAGCUUAGUGGUUGCGGCUACUACUUUUAUCAUGAACGUGAAUAGCUUAGCGGCUACAGCUAUUACUUACUGAAUAUGACUGUUUGACAGACACAUAAGAAAGCACUAUCCCUGACCAGGAACAUCAGAAACGAUCACCAGACAGAGGUAUGUGUGUCCCUCCCAGCUGACAGAUAGGAAUGGUGCAGGAGAAUGAGAAAAAGUCUACUGAAAGGGGCAGGAAUGCAAGUGUCUUUGGAAGUGGCAGAUCCAUUCAACAAUGAAGAAGGUGUUGUAACGUGGUGGUCGUGUAUAGAGCAAUUUUAUCAAACAAGCUGAAACAAAGUAAAGCGCAGAAACUUGGCAUCAAGACAAAAUCCACUCACCAGCUACCUGCACCAUACAAGCGACAAUAACCAACCACACAGCACAAGCAGAGGACACAUAAUAAGACGAGGGGAAUCAGAGCGGGUAAGAAGGGGAAAGAGCGGUUACACUACCCCGGGACAAUGGAUGGUGGUAAGUAUUUGUAAUGAAUCUCACAAUCUCAGGCCAAAAUGUGGAAGUCAUGACAACCAGGGGUGCAGAUAGGAUUUUUUAAAUGGGGGGGACCAAGUGAUCUAAUGCCCUGUCGGCAAAUGAUUUCAACUCAGUUCGUUAUUUUGCGUAAUUUGGGCUUUAACUAGUGCUCAAGUAGUUACUUUGCGUAAUUUGGGCUAAUGAUUUGCACUAAAAAGCCAUUGGGGGAUUCUUAUUUGAAAUCAUGGAUAAAUAACAAUGAAAAAAGGUAAACAAAGGCCUACCUGAUCACCACUAGCAAUGCAUGAUCAGACUGUUAUUUGACUAGUAUGCCAAUCACCCACCAAAACUUCAUGUCUUCAGCAAAGUAUGUUUUAUUUAAACAUGUGCUUAUCUCAGCAUACAAAGUAUAUCAUUAUGAACAAAAUAGCAAAGAACCUAUUUGCAAAAAAUAAUAAUAAUAAUAAAAUAAAAUAACAACAACAUAUUUACAUAAAUAAAAAUAAGUAAAUAUACAGAGUAUGAGAAAUUCCGUCUAGUGCAGCCAAACAAAUUUACUCAAUGAAGGACCCAAAAACAUCUCUCCUCCUGUAACGAGGACGCGCGUGGAGGACCCGCGCCACCCCUCCCGACGCGGUGUUCAGCGCGCGUCAUCUCCGGCCUUCUAGCCACGCCGCUCCUCCUCCCACGGC
ensembl:lncRNA